rnacentral:rRNA from 1 species
AGAAAUAACAAUACAGGACUUUAACAGUUUUGUAAUUGGAAUGAGUUGAGUAUAAACCCCUUUACAAGUAUCAAUUGGAGGGCAAGUCUGGUGCCAGCAGCCGCGGUAAUUCCAGCUCCAAUAGCGUAUAUUAAAGUUGUUGCAGUUAAAAAGCUCGUAGUUGGAUUUCUGUUAAUAAUUUAUAUAUAAUAUUUAACAUAUUUAUAUAAUAUUAACAUAAUUCAUAUUACUAUUUAUAGUAUAUGAAACUUUACUUUGAGAAAAUUAGAGUGCUUAAAGCAGGCUUUUGCCUUGAAUACUAGAGCAUGGAAUAAUAUUAAAGAUUUUUAUCUUUCUUAUUGGUUCUAAGAUAGAAAUAAUGAUUAAUAGGGACAGUUGGGGGCAUUUGUAUUUAACAGUUAGAGGUGAAAUUCUUAGAUUUGUUAAAGACAAACUAAUGCGAAAGCAUUUGCCAAGGAUGUUUUCAUUAAUCAAGAACGAAAGUUAGGGGAUCGAAGACGAUCAGAUACCG